rnacentral:misc_RNA from 1 species
GAUGAAGAACGUAGUGAAAUGCGAUAAGUAAUGUGAAUUGCAGAAUUCAGUGAAUCAUCGAAUCUUUGAACGCACAUUGCGCCCGGCAGUACUCUGCCGGGCAUGCCUGUUCGAGCGUCAUUUCAACCCUCAAGCCCUGCUUGGUGUUGGGGCCCCACGGCUGCCGUGGGCCCUGAAAGGAAGUGGCGGGCUCGCUACAACUCCGAGCGUAGUAAUUCAUUAUCUCGCUUAGGGCGUUGGGCGGCGCUCCAGCCGUUAAAGAACCAUCUUUAACUCAAGGUUGACCUCGGAUCAGGUAGGAAUACCCGCUGAACUUAAGCAUAUCAAUAAGCGGAGGA